AGUCGACGGGUCCUUCGGGACUAGUGGCGGACGGGUGAGUAACGCGUGGGACAUGCCCAAAGGUACGGAAUAGCCUCGGGAAACUGGGAGUAAUACCGUAUGUGCCCUUCGGGGGAAAGAUUUAUCGCCUUUGGAUUGGCCCGCGUUGGAUUAGGUAGUUGGUGGGGUAACGGCCUACCAAGCCGACGAUCCAUAGCUGGUUUGAGAGGAUGAUCAGCCACACUGGGACUGAGACACGGCCCAGACUCCUACGGGAGGCAGCAGUGGGGAAUCUUAGACAAUGGGGGAAACCCUGAUCUAGCCAUGCCGCGUGAUCGAUGAAGGCCUUAGGGUUGUAAAGAUCUUUCAGAUGGGAAGAUAAUGACGGUACCAUCAGAAGAAGCCCCGGCUAACUCCGUGCCUGCAGCCGCGGUAAUACAGACGGGGCUAGCGUUAUUCUUUAUUACCGCGCGUAACGCGCACGUAAGCGGACUGGAAAGUCAGAUGUGAAAUCCCGGGCUCAACCGUGGAACUGCUCUUAAGACUCAUCACUCUAGACGUCGAGAGAGGUGAGUGGAAUUCUGAGAGUAGAGGUGUAGUUC
rnacentral:rRNA from 1 species